UACGAAGGGAGCUAGCGUUGUUCGGAAUCACUGGGCGUAAAGCGCACGUAGGCGGAUUUGCCAGUCAGGGGUGAAAUCCCGGGGCUCAACCUCGGAACUGCCUUUGAUACUGAAGAUCUUGAGUUCGGGAGAGGUGAGUGGAACUGCGAGUGUAGAGGUGAAAUUCGUAGAUAUUCGCAAGAACACCAGUGGCGAAGGCGGCUCACUGGCCCGAUACUGACGCUGAGGCACGAAAGCGUGGGGAGCAAACAGG
rnacentral:rRNA from 1 species